UGUGAUGUCCUAUAAUUAAAUUUUGUUUACACAUUCUAGAGGACUACGAAGGGCAUGUGAGGCAUAUAAGAAAUCUCCCACAGCGAACCAGGAGUGGGGCCUUACAAGGAGACAAGAGGAAGCCAGACGUGCUGAAUGCUGAUUUUGUGGAAGUCGCACAAGAGAGGCGAGCAACAAUUUCCAACUAAUCUAAAUGAAAAGUGACUACGAAAACCAAGGAAUCAACCUGACCCAUGAUGCCUUUUUGACAUCGGCAAUGGUAUAUAGCUUCUAUAUGUGAUAUAAAUAUGUGUAUGUAAACAUAAAUAUGUGUAUGUAAACACAUGAUGUAAUGA
rnacentral:lncRNA from 1 species